rnacentral:rRNA from 1 species
UAACACAUGCAAGUCGAACGGGAAAUAUUUUAUUGAAACUUCGGUAGAUUUAAUUUAUUUCUAGUGGCGGACGGGUGAGUAACGCGUGGGUAACCUGCCUUAUACUGGGGGAUAACAGCCAGAAAUGGCUGCUAAUACCGCAUAAGCGCACAGGACCGCAUGGUCCAGUGUGAAAAACUCCGGUGGUAUAAGAUGGACCCGCGUUGGAUUAGCUAGUUGGCAGGGCAGCGGCCUACCAAGGCGACGAUCCAUAGCCGGCCUGAGAGGGUGAACGGCCACAUUGGGACUGAGACACGGCCCAGACUCCUACGGGAGGCAGCAGUGGGGAAUAUUGCACAAUGGGGGAAACCCUGAUGCAGCGACGCCGCGUGAAGGAAGAAGUAUCUCGGUAUGUAAACUUCUAUCAGCAGGGAAGAUAAUGACGGUACCUGACUAAGAAGCCCCGGCUAACUACGUGCCAGCAGCCGCGGUAAUACGUAGGGGGCAAGCGUUAUCCGGAUUUACUGGGUGUAAAGGGAGCGUAGACGGCGCAGCAAGUCUGAUGUGAAAGGCAGGGGCUUAACCCCUGGACUGCAUUGGAAACUGUUGAGCUUGAGUGCCGGAGGGGUAAGCGGAAUUCCUAGUGUAGCGGUGAAAUGCGUAGAUAUUAGGAGGAACACCAGUGGCGAAGGCGGCUUAUGGGACGGUAACUGACGU